rnacentral:rRNA from 1 species
UACGUAGGGAGCAAGCGUUGUCCGGAAUCAUUGGGCGUAAAGGGCUCGUAGGUGGCCAACUAAGUCAGACGUGAAAUCCCUCGGCUUAACCGGGGAACUGCGUCUGAUACUGGAUGGCUUGAGUGUGGGAGAGGGAUGCGGAAUUCCAGGUGUAGCGGUGAAAUGCGUAGAUAUCUGGAGGAACACCGGUGGCGAAGGCGGCAUCCUGGACCACGACUGACGCUGAGUGAGCGAAAGCCAGGGGAGCAAACGGG